rnacentral:rRNA from 1 species
UACGGAGGGGCUAGCGUUGUUCGGAAUUACUGGGCGUAAAGCGCACGUAGGCGGCUUUGUAAGUUAGAGGUGAAAGCCCAGGGCUUAACCCUGGAAUUGCCUUUAAGACUGCAUCGCUAGAAUCGUGGAGAGGUGAGUGGAAUUCCGAGUGUAGAGGUGAAAUUCGUAGAUAUUCGGAAGAACACCAGUGGCGAAGGCGACUCACUGGACACGUAUUGAUGCUGAGGUGCGAAAGCGUGGGGAGCAAACAGGG